UGUAGGUUAUUAGGUUAUUUGCCAUGCUGAUUUGGUUCAUGUUGGUUUGUGUAGGUUAUUAGGUUAUUUGCCAUGCUGAUUUGGUUUAUGUUGGUUUGUGUAGGUUAUUUG